AGUGAACGCUGGCGGUAGGCCUAACGCAUGCAAGUCGAACGGCAGCACAGUAAGAGCUUGCUCUUACGGGUGGCGAGUGGCGGACGGGUGAGGAAUACAUCGGAAUCUACCUUUUCGUGGGGGAUAACGUAGGGAAACUUACGCUAAUACCGCAUACGACCUACGGGUGAAAGCAGGGGAUCUUCGGACCUUGCGCGAUUGAAUGAGCCGAUGUCGGAUUAGCUAGUUGGCGGGGUAAAGGCCCACCAAGGCGACGAUCCGUAGCUGGUCUGAGAGGAUGAUCAGCCACACUGGAACUGAGACACGGUCCAGACUCCUACGGGAGGCAGCAGUGGGGAAUAUUGGACAAUGGGCGCAAGCCUGAUCCAGCCAUACCGCGUGGGUGAAGAAGGCCUUCGGGUUGUAAAGCCCUUUUGUUGGGAAAGAAAAGCAGCAGGUUAAUACCCCGCUGUUCUGACGGUACCCAAAGAAUAAGCACCGGCUAACUUCGUG
rnacentral:rRNA from 1 species